ensembl:lncRNA
GAUAAACCUGAAACUUGAACUUUGUCGGUGUUGUGUUGAUCAGAGUCAAGACUGAAACAGAAAGUCUUUUAACUGCUGACCGUGUUUAUUAAAUGUGUUCACUGUACUCUGGAAUUGUGACCUUGUACAUUUAUUUAUUUCACAGACUUUAUCUUCAUUUAUGGACAGACAUGUCAUACAGAAACUGUCACACUUUUGUCACUUUGUUUUAUGUCUCAUAAUCCCACCUACAGAAUGAGCAGAUAAGAAAGGAAUGUGGUUGCUAAGGAGGUGUUGCUAUGGACACUGCUGUCACGCAGGUGCAGGGUGUGGGCUGUAGAAAACAGGAUGACACGGAAAUACAGGUUAGUUUGGUUUGUGGCUGUGACGGCACUUUACACACAGAUUUUACUUUUUAUUUUUCUCCUUAUUUUUGUAACUUUUUACUUGUUUUUCAUCAAACCUCCUCCAGUAACCUUUGAUUUACAGGAAAGCAAUCGGGUAUACCAAAGCUACACUUUCCAGAUUUUAGUGGAUUUUAUAUUUUUGUUUUUGAUUUUUUAUCAUAAUGGUCAGACGACUCUUUGAGGAUUUUGGAGAUCUCUUCAGAACAACAGUAACAGCCUUCGUCACAGUUUAAAGCUUGCUCUCAAGUUUUUAUCAUGGCAAACUCAGGAGGUAGAGCUGGGGCCCGUUCUUCGUACCUCGCUUACUACAUCCAAGAUCAAAUGACACAUCCAAGACCAAAUCAUCGUGCCAACCGUGAGCUCGCUAAUCCGGUUCUCCGAACACACCUGCUGUUGACGAUUAGUACAGCUGGAUGAAGUAAUGUGAGAUCACUGGGUGGCUUAACAGGGGCUACGCAUCGAUAGUAGAAACAUUGAUCGGCAACCCUUUGAUUGGUCGGCGAAAAUGUCGAAGGAGCGCGCUCGGUAUUUUUCGGCAGCAGAGCAAGAACUCUUGAGUGAGGGAUUUCAGGAGUUUCAGAGUUUAAUCAGAACGCA